rnacentral:rRNA from 1 species
GACGAACGCUGGCGGCGUGCCUAAUACAUGCAAGUCGAACGCACAGUUUAUACCGUAGCUUGCUACACCAUAAACUGUGAGUUGCGAACGGGUGAGUAACGCGUAGGUAACCUGCCUGGUAGCGGGGGAUAACUAUUGGAAACGAUAGCUAAUACCGCAUAAUAUUAAUUAUUGCAUGAUAAUUGAUUGAAAGAUGCAAUUGCAUCACUACCAGAUGGACCUGCGUUGUAUUAGCUAGUAGGUGAGGUAACGGCUCACCUAGGCGACGAUACAUAGCCGACCUGAGAGGGUGAUCGGCCACACUGGGACUGAGACACGGCCCAGACUCCUACGGGAGGCAGCAGUAGGGAAUCUUCGGCAAUGGACGAAAGUCUGACCGAGCAACGCCGCGUGAGUGAAGAAGGUUUUCGGAUCGUAAAGCUCUGUUGUAAGAGAAGAACGGGUGUGAGAGUGGAAAGUUCACACUGUGACGGUAUCUUACCAGAAAGAGACGGCUAACUACGUG